rnacentral:rRNA from 1 species
UACGGGGGGGCAAGCGUUGUUCGGAAUUACUGGGCGUAAAGGGUUCGUAGGUGGCCCGCUAAGUCACACGUGAAAUCCCUCAGCUUAACUGGGGAACUGCGUGUGAGACUGGCAGGCUUGAGUGCAGGAGAGGAACGCGGAAUUCCAGGUGUAGCGGUGAAAUGCGUAGAUAUCUGGAGGAACACCGGUGGCGAAGGCGGCGUUCUGGACUGUAUCUGACACUGAGGA